AUUGAACGCUGGCGGCAGGCCUAACACAUGCAAGUCGAGCGGAUGAAGGGAGCUUGCUCCUGGAUUCAGCGGCGGACGGGUGAGUAAUGCCUAGGAAUCUGCCUGGCAGUGGGGGAUAACGUCCGGAAACGGGCGCUAAUACCGCAUACGUCCUGAGGGAGAAAGUGGGGGAUCUUCGGACCUCACGCUAUCUGAUGAGCUUAGGUCGGAUUAGCUAGUUGGUGGGGUAAAGGCCUACUAAGGCGACGAUCCGUAACUGGUCUGAGAGGAUGAUCGGUCACACUGGAACUGAGACACGGUCCAGACUCCUACGGGAGGCAGCAGUGGGGAAUGUUAGACAAUGGGCGAAAGCCUGAUCCAGCCAUGCCGCGUGUGUGAAGAAGGUCUUCGGAUUGUAAAGCACUUUAAGUUGGGAGGAAGGGCAGUAAGUUGAUACCUUGCUGUUUUGACGGUACCAACAGAAUAAGCACCGGCUAACUUCGUG
rnacentral:rRNA from 1 species